UGCAAAGAGGGGCUUCUACCCCGUAAAUGGAAUUACAAUCCACCACCUAAAACUCGGCCAUCUUUAC
rnacentral:tRNA from 1 species